rnacentral:misc_RNA from 1 species
CAGUUGAACUAGCCAGCCCCCACUUCCUACUUUUCUUUUAUUUCUUUUGGGGUUGAAAAAAUAGUGCAGAAAAUAAUGUCAUGAGUAUGUUUUCAAGCUUUUAGGCUGGAAAAGAUUGAUUCUUGGUGCCACUAAUACCAUAUCUCUGUAUUUAUCCAUUUUGGUAUCUCAUAAAGAAGGAAAAGACUGAUUUAUGGUGAAGAAGUAUACACAAAUUUUGACUAAAGUUACAAAAGAUUGAUUCUUUGUGAAGAAGUUGUUUUCAUUUGAGUUCUUG